UAAAAUCACAAUAAAAUGCAUUUUAGCCUUAAGUAUCUAAACAAAAGUCAUAGAUCUCGUUGAAAGGUGAGCGUGCAUAAAAAGAUCGCCCAAAUUGGACCUCGUAUGAAGAAGUUACGAAUUUUCAAAGUUUCGUAACAGUAGUAGAGGGCUAAAAACUCGGAUUGAAGAUCGAGUGUUAUUUAGCUAUCGCCACCUAAACGGAAGUUGAAGAUCUCCUCAGUGGUAAUAAAACGAUAAAAAGACAAACGAAAACCGACGUCGAAUAAAGAACCUAUGAAUUUUUAACGAACUUUAGGAGGCCCGGCCUAUUAAAAAUAUAUCAUUAAAAAUAAAGUCAAAACUAGCCGACGGAGUCUAAAUGAAAGUUGUAGAGCAUAAUCUCACCUACGCGUGGAUAUAAAGAACACGAAAAACGGAGCUCGUACGCGAAAGUUACGGAAUUUAGAAGAGGACAGGCCGGAUUACGCCCCGCGUUCUCUAGGAGUACGCCCCGCGUACUAGACCCAGAGUCGAGUCCCAUCGGCCCGCCCAAGCUACGCUUAGCUAGCCAGGAGUAGUAAGCCAUGACGCAUUUUUACGCCCAGCGUAACGACGUACGCGCUGCGUACGUGAGUACGCCCCGCGUACUCCAAAUUUACGCCCCGCGUACUCACUCCUCCAGCACUAUAAAUAGAUGGCAUAAGCUUCGAGUUUUAGACACAUUUUCUCAAUUCUCCAAUUACUCUCACACACUUCCAAGCACUAGAAGCUAUCCCGACGACCUCGAUUUCCGCACUCAAGCCCCGACGAAAGUCCGAAGCCCCGAGAUUCCCGAGAAUCUCGUCACUCUCCGGUCGAGGUGCCGCCCGGGAAAAUCUCGUUUUCUUCAAAUCACGCGCCUUCAUCAGUGAGUUCAUACCCCUACAAUUUACAUUUUAAAUGUGUUAUCAAUAUUGUUUUAAUAUACACUUUUGAGGGGGGGAAUACAAGUAAUCACACGAUUAUUAUCGUGUGUAACUCAAAGAUUCACUAAAUACUCAUUUUUAUCAAGUAAAACAUAUGUGAUUCACAACCAUUAUGUGGAAUCUUUCAUACGGAAAACAUAACACGAUAUCGUCAGAUAUAUAUAUCGAAAUUAAAAAUGUUGUUAUAUGUAUACGAAUCAAACAGUUUAUCUAUACCUCGAGUUUAAGUGUUCAUUAUGUCACCAUAAAAAGUUACACAUUUCAUAACAAGUGAGCAUCACACUAGGGUUACUAUACAAACAAAACGAACUUUUGGAAAAACUAUAAUAGUUUACGCCAAACAUUUAUACAUGUUAAAAACUCUUUAUCAAACUGUCUUACAUGCUUUAUGAUUUCCUUUCAAACAUUGUUAGAAUCAUGUUUCUAACAAAGGUCUUCCUAUAUUUAAAACAGUUCUUAUCAAACAAACUACUUUCAAAUUAUUUUAUAAACUGACAUCAAGUCAUCAUUUCUUAUUUAUUAAACUUUUCAAAGGUUUUACAAAAGUCUUUUAUAUUUUUGUGCUUGCUUAUACAUGUAUACUUAUAUAAGUAAUGUUUGAAGGACUUAGGACGGCUAGCUCGCUUUAUUUCCUUUUCCUCGUUGGGAUGUGGCCUUAGGGCAUCGGUUAUUCGUCCGAAUGUCGUCUAAAUAUUAGUUAUAUAUAUAUGUACAUAUAUAGACAUAAAAGUUUCCGUCAGUUCAUUCAGUACCUUUGAGUAGCAAAGGCAUAUUUCGAAUUAUACACACACAUUAUCAAUAACUAUAAUAGGUAUAGUUAAGACAUACUAUUUACCAUUCCAAGUACCAGGAAUCAUACAAGACGUAGUCUAUUCAUGAGUCAAUACAAAUACAUUACAUACUAUGCGAAGAGGUACAAUUACAUACAAUUACAAAAGCAUACAACUUCGAGACAUACCAUUUCAAGGAAUACAAUUACAUGAGAUAGUAUACUAGAUAUUCAUAACGUUUUAUAUACUACAAGUACCAUAUCAAGAAGGUAUUUUCAUACAAAAACAAAUGGACAUUUUCAUACGUAAAUCUGUUUUAUACUAGAUUGUGAGACAGCUUCACGUACUUUCGAGUAUGCAUUAUUAAGUCCUGUAUUAUAUACCAUAAUCCCUUGUAGGGGGAGCGUGAUACUUGUGUAUAGAUCUAUACGGGAUUGACAAUCCCGCACCUAAACUGUUAGCUACAGUUAGACCGGCAGGUCUGGGGUGACAAAUGUCAUAACAUUCCAACGCCUGAAGAACGUUGUUACAGGCCAUCAGUGUCAAUAGCAUGGUUAUAAAACUCACAUGGAGUAUUAAAAACACAUUGAUUUACGGAGUUUUCAUAUACCUUAGCAAUUAUAACUGUACACAAAGCUACUAUUUUAGACAUGAAAAACAUCAUGGUAGUUUCAUUUUGGGACUUUUAAUGUACCAUCUACUUACGAACAAAUAUUGGAUUUUUGAAACAAACAUUUAAAACAGUCGAGCCUUGGUAGAAGGCUACACUUUAUACUAGUAGAAAAUAUGGGAUUUUCUAGAAGUUUCAAACGUUUACAAUUACUUACAAACAUAUUCGUUGGUACAAACUUUCUUUCAAACAAUUACAUGUCUUUCUUUACAGCUUUACAAAUCAAAGUCACAUAAAUACUUAUGAACUCACCAGCAUUAUUGCUGAUACUCGCUUUCAAAAUAACUUGUAUUCCCAGGAUACGGAUAGACAGGUACGACUACCAGGUUUUGUGAAGACGGAGCGAUCAAGACUCGUCUUUUAUUUCUGAAUAUUCAUUUUUGUAGAAUUAUACUAUGAAAGAACUCAAAUGUAAUUACAAUUAUACUAUUAAUGCAAUGGAUGAUGUUGUUGCUUGUUUACUACUUAGCAUUGUUGUGAUACAUUACAUGACGUCCUCCGCCCCAGAACGUUUCCGCCGUUCUCGGUUUUGGGGUGUGACAGAUUGGUAUCAGAGCAUUGUUUAUAGUGAAUCAAGUAUAUCAACCCAUAAAAGAUAUACGAACUAUAAAUACAAUAGGGAUUAAAAUACUCUGAUAAAGAGAUUAUACUUUUAAAUAAUAAAAUAUUUAAGUAAGUAUACGUGCCUGCAUACAUACUAAAAUCAGUAUCACUAGGACGGAACAAAAGUAUUACGAUUGUUGGGCAACACAAGUAGACUUAGAGACAUAUAGUCAAAACUGGGAUGAUAUAGCCUGAUCAACUAUAUUUUCCAAGGGUUGACUAGCAUGUGCCUAAGUGUAGUUGUGAGUUGCAACAAGUCUAAAAACUUACCCACAACACCACAAUGGGAACAAUAGAACGUAAACCUAAAAUACUAUAGGAGUAUUUUGUGUAUUCUAUAAACUACUUAUGUGUUAGAUUCUUAUACCCCAAAUUACCGUAUAGAUAACAUAGCUGGACCCCAUCCCCACGACAAACUCGUACUUCCCGAACAAAGGCAGUGCUGGAUGGUUCAAAGAAGAACCAAAGAAUGAUCAUCCAAUCCCUUUUGAAUGAUCACCAUACUGAAGACCUUUCGGAUGAUAAUAACUCUGAACUCUAGAAGGAGAACCUACCCCCGGUAACUUCCAAUUCAAACCCUAACCCUCGUCUAGCUCUUCAUGGCCCGACACUUCCUUGGGUAGUAUGCCUAGAAACAUGGAGCGCAGAGCGAGAUCAACCUAUGUCGUCAAAAGGAGACCGAAGCUACUACCACUUAAGCGAAGGGAGCUCAGCAGACAAAGUUCUAACAAUCCUGAUCUGCAGAGUUGGUCGAAAUGAAAUUCCAGGCAGGACAACUCUCCAUUAUAUCAAAGAGGUUAAAAACCAACACCAUCUACACCAAUCAUCUUAAAAACACUCGUAAGAGAUCUAAGAGAGACCAUGAGACCCUGCUGCAAGCAUUAGCUGAAACACAAGCCGAAGUCAUAGAACUCCAAAUGGUAUACAAAGGGCACCUACUUGAUAUGGAAUGUCAACUGACUGGGAUGGGGGUCCACCAGAGGGAUGACCGUCACCAAAAGUAGAUACCUUACUUUAAUCUCCCUUGUUAAAAGAAUUAUUUUUUUCUACCUAUUCCCGAUGCAACAUUUUUUUUGUACUGUAAGUACUGUUAGUUAGGCCUUUAUGCAGCCAAAACCUUUCUACUCAUGAUAUGAUGUAAGACCUUCUUCAAGAUAAAAUUUUCCUAAACUUAUUCCAUCUUAAACAUCGAUGAUAUUGACAAUCGGCUAACCCCCGUGUCACUCUUUGUUCAAAAACCCUCAUCAUACCCUCGUUGGAGUCUAUCUGAAACAUGCUUUAGUCAAAACAUUGGACUAUAGUAAUUUAACUCCGAAAACAUUUCCAAGUCUCUGUAGUGGUAAGAUCAUGUUAUUCACCAACUAACGAUACCUCGGCUUGAACAACAAACAUACUUCUACUCUGUACUAGGACUGCAUCAUAGGGAUGUAGGUCAAACUUUCGAGAACAUACUCUUACUCUUUACUUAAGCGAUCGAAAUACACCUAGGUUCAACCUUAAUAUCUCACGAACUCCUUUUCCUUUCGUGUUACAGAAUCAUGUCGCCGAAGAAAAGUAAUCAACCCAUCAGCCAAACACCAACUCUUCAGAUUGAUGCAGCUACCUUUCAAGCUGCAGUCUCAGCUGCCGUGACAACUGUUCUGAAUCACCUUAACGCCAACUAUGCAAAUGUUAGCGGGAUGGUUUUCAAUAAUUCCAAUCCAAGUAACAACCAAAUACACCCACGAGUAACAAACUACCACGACGCUCCAGACCUCAAACCAAUGAGCAACAAACGAAAAUUUUGGGAUAAUGUUAAAGGCAAAUCACCACGAGGGACAAACAAGAAACCAUCACCAGUGGCAGCCUUCACAGCCACGACAUCUUUAACUCCUACCACCAACACUACAAGUAUCCCAAUUAUCCCUAACCCAGCCAGACAGUAUGCUUGAAACCUACCGAAUUGCAAUAAGUGCAACUUCCAUCACUUAGGUAGUUGUCGUCUGUUACACUGCAAGACCUGCAACAAGAACGGACACACUACCCGCUUCUGCAGGACUCGGGUCAAACACAUUACUUCAACCACCAAUGUCGAAACUUCUCGGAUAUGCCAUCUAUGUGGUUUAAUGGGACACUUCAAGAGGGAUUGCCCAAUAGAGAAGAACGACCGUAGAACAGGAGGAGUUUGACCUCAGAAUGGAAAAAAGGCAAUGAAGGACCCGACUAUAAUAGGGGCUCACUUCCAAUCGUCAACAUUAAGUAUGUCGUUAAACUCGCAUAAAACUAGUGCAACUCGAGUCUUACCUUUUGAGAGAUCCCGUCAGUAUAAGGAGACCCUCAUGUUGUAUAUACUUGCCUUUUGUAGUAUACCUUGUUCGCAACAAUAGUCUUGUAGUAGCACCAAAGUAAUGUAACUCUGUUAAAAGUUGGACUGUUGUGUUUUGUCUGUAACACCCUUAUGAUCAAACCUAAUACCGUACUUCCAAGUAAGUCCGAUAUCAUCAUACAAUUUGACUCAAUUCGAUCCUCGCAAAUUCAGUUUUGUGCGUAUUUCUCCUUCUCCGAAAACGUCUUUCUAGCGAAGCCGUCAUUCCAGAACACCGAAGUACUCAUGCAUAGAGUACCUACUGUUUCUCAUCCUUUCCAAGGAAAUCGCAGCAAACCUCCCCGAAGUAUCACUCGUACUGUACGUCAAGUUCAAUCUAAAGGCCCAUAUGGUUGAUCUGUCUCCGAAGAAUGUAUACAUGAGGGUGGUAUAUAAUCAAGAUUCUACAGGUUUAGAAUUGAUGACUCCACUUUAACUUCUUUUCCUCGUUGGGAUGUGAGCUUAAAGAGGAAUCAUUUAUUCGACUACCUUUUCAAUCUUAAUUAUAUACGACUCGUAUACCCGAGUCUGUGAUGGAUGGACCAGGUAUGAGUUCUACUAUGAACUUCAGGACGGAGACUACCCAAGACUACGAGUGAUCGUGCAUCAGCGAGAAUAAACUCAGAAAUACCUACCCUUUUUCCUAAUUCAUGAGUAGUUAUACGUUCUUUUAGAUCUUCACGACAGCUAAUCCACCCCAAAGUUUUGACAUCAUAAUCAGUAGGAGUUGGUUAAGUCUACAUCGAGCCGACAUCAGGUGUCUUGAUAAAGCAAUUUUCCCUAACCUCCCUAAAACAACAAAUCCCUAGUUAUUUACCGCGACAAACCAAGUAUGAACCCUCUCAUCAAUUCGUGUAUGCAAGCUCAAGAAAUACUUAUGAAGGGAAUAUCAUGCAUUCCUUACACACAUCGCCGAGACAUGCCUAGAAGUGAAGGACAUUCAGAACGUCCAAGAAGUAUGCGGCUUUUCCCAAAGGACAACCGAGACUACCAACACGACGUCAAGUCAAAUUCAGAGUCGACUUAGUUCCAGUAGCCAAAUCACCUUAUUCUCUAGCUCCAACCGAGGUGCAAGAACUUCCUAACAAACUUAACAAACUCCUCAGAAGGGGAUUCCUUGGGACAAGUUUCUCCCGUGGAAGAGCAUAGUAAUUGUCGAUAAACAAGAAAGAGUGUUCCAAACACUAAAGUAAGUCUGAUGCAUCGCACCAAUAUUAUCCCUACCAAAAAGAGGAUAGAAUAUUGCAUGGUGUAAUACGAUACAUCCAACCAAGGGCUUGAUUGUAUUCUUAAGCAAGAGGAAAGAUCAUUGCCGAUACCUCAAGACAACUUAAGACACAAGAAGUUAACUAUUCAACAUGUGAUCUUGAGUCAUGAGCAGCGGAAAUUGCUCUGAAGAUCUGGAGACAAAAAUUGUAGGGUAUACUCUCACAAACAACAAAACUUUCAACGUACAUUCGACCAAGAAGAGUUAUUAUACCAGCAAAAGUCAAACGAAAGAAACAAAGUCGUAUCCCGAUAGUGAAAGAUUCACUGGAAUGCCAGGCGAAGACGAAUGUUUGCUUAAGAACACGAGUAUCAAAUAGAACUCCUAUCCGUAACAUGAUUGUUAAUACUACUUAAAACUCGAAUUUCGGGACGAAAUUCCCUUAACAGGGGGAUGAUGUGACAACCCUAUAUUUUCCAAAAGCAUUGUAAACACUCAAAAGCUAAAAACAACGAAAUUAGCCUCGAAAAUAAAAGUGUUCAAGUAUCUAAGUUGGGAUGCAUCAAAUAUUAGAUAUCAUGCCAAGGUUUCCAAAAUCAUAAAGAACGCUCAAAACCGGGUUAUAUUGAAGAAAUUAUAACCACUCGUAUAUUUACGACAUGACGUUAAAACAUUAUUUGACGUAAAAAGUAAAAUCUCAAUAAAAUGCAUUUUAGCCUUAAGUAUCUAAACAAAAGUCAUAGAUCUCUUUGAAAGGUGAGCGUGCAUAAAAAGAUCGCCCAAAUUGGACCUCGUAUGAAGAAGUUACGAAUUUUCAAAAGAUUCGUAACAGUAGUAGAGGGCUAAAAACUCGGAUUGAAGAUCGAGUGUUAUUUAGCUAUCGCCACCUAAACGGAAGUUGAAGAUCUCCUCAGUGGUAAUAAAACGAUAAAAAGACAAACGAAAACCGACGUCGAAUAAAGAACCUAUGAAUUUUUAACGAACUUUAGAAGGCCCGGCCUAUUAAAAAUAUAUCAUUAAAAAUAAAGUCAAAACUAGCCGACGGAGUCUAAAUGAAAGUUGUAGAG
rnacentral:lncRNA from 1 species